UGGGGAAUAUUGCACAAUGGGCGCAAGCCUGAUGCAGCCAUGCCGCGUGUAUGAAGAAGGCCUUCGGGUUGUAAAGUACUUUCAGCGGGGAGGAAGGCGAUAAGGUUAAUAACCUUGUCGAUUGACGUUACCCGCAGAAGAAGCACCGGCUAACUCCGUGCCAGCAGCCGCGGUAAUACGGAGGGUGCAAGCGUUAAUCGGAAUUACUGGGCGUAAAGCGCACGCAGGCGGUCUGGCAAGUCGGAUGUGAAAUCCCCGGGCUCAACCUGGGAACUGCAUUCGAAACUGGCAGGCUAGAGUCUUGUAGAGGGGGGUAGAAUUCCAGGUGUAGCGGUGAAAUGCGUAGAGAUCUGGAGGAAUACCGGUGGCGAAGGCGG
rnacentral:rRNA from 1 species